UGGCCCAUCAGGGUAAUGGAUACCUGCUUUUUUAUU
ensembl:misc_RNA